rnacentral:rRNA from 1 species
AGAGCGAACGCUGGCGGCAGGCCUAACACAUGCAAGUCGAACGGACUCUUCGGAGUUAGUGGCGGACGGGUGAGUAACACGUGGGAACGUGCCUUUUGGUUCGGAAUAGCUCCUGGAAACGGGUGGUAAUGCCGAAUGUGCCCUUCGGGGGAAAGAUUUAUCGCCAUUAGAGCGGCCCGCGUCUGAUUAGCUAGUUGGUGAGGUAAAGGCUCACCAAGGCUACGAUCAGUAGCUGGUCUGAGAGGAUGACCAGCCACAUUGGGACUGAGACACGGCCCAAACUCCUACGGGAGCAGCAGUGGGGAAUCUUGCGCAAUGGGCGAAAGCCUGACGCAGCCAUGCGCGUGAAUGAUGAAGGUCUUAGGAUUGUAAAAUUCUUUCACCGGGACGAUAAUGACGGUACCCGGAGAAGAAGCCCGACUAACUCGUGCCAGCAGCCGC